rnacentral:rRNA from 1 species
GACGAACGCUGGCGGCGCGCCUAACACAUGCAAGUCGAACGAGCGAGAGAGAGCUUGCUUUCUCGAGCGAGUGGCGAACGGGUGAGUAACGCGUGAGGAACCUGCCUCAAAGAGGGGGACAACAGUUGGAAACGACUGCUAAUACCGCAUAAGCCCACGACCCGGCAUCGGGUUGAGGGAAAAGGAGCAAUCCGCUUUGAGAUGGCCUCGCGUCCGAUUAGCUAGUUGGUGAGGUAACGGCCCACCAAGGCAACGAUCGGUAGCCGGACUGAGAGGUUGAACGGCCACAUUGGGACUGAGACACGGCCCAGACUCCUACGGGAGGCAGCAGUGGGGAAUAUUGCACAAUGGGGGGGAACCCUGAUGCAGCGACGCCGCGUGGAGGAAGAAGGUCUUCGGAUUGUAAACUCCUGUUGUUGAGGAAGAUAAUGACGGUACUCAACAAGGAAGUGACGGCUAACUACGUGCCAGCAGCCGCGGU